rnacentral:rRNA from 1 species
GAGUUUGAUCUUGGCUCAGAUUGAACGCUGGCGGCAGGCCUAACACAUGCAAGUCGAGCGGAUGACGGGAGCUUGCUCCUUGAUUCAGCGGCGGACGGGUGAGUAAUGCCUAGGAAUCUGCCUGGUAGUGGGGGACAACGUUUCGAAAGGAACGCUAAUACCGCAUACGUCCUACGGGAGAAAGCAGGGGACCUUCGGGCCUUGCGCUAUCAGAUGAGCCUAGGUCGGAUUAGCUAGUUGGUAGGGUAAUGGCUCACCAAGGCGACGAUCCGUAACUGGUCUGAGAGGAUGAUCAGUCACACUGGAACUGAGACACGGUCCAGACUCCUACGGGAGGCAGCAGUGGGGAAUAUUGGACAAUGGGCGAAAGCCUGAUCCAGCCAUGCCGCGUGUGUGAAGAAGGUCUUCGGAUUGUAAGGCACUUUAAGUUGGGAGGAAGGGCAGUAAGUUAAUACCUUGCUGUUUUGACGUUACCGACAGAAUAAGCACCGGCUAACUCUAGUGACAGCCG